rnacentral:misc_RNA from 1 species
UCUCCGUUGGUGAACCAGCGGAGGGAUCAUUACAGAGUUGCAAAACUCCCAAACCAUCGUGAACGUUACCUAUCCCGUUGCUUCGGCGGGCGGCCCGGGCCCCGCGCCCGGCGCCCCCCGGCCCCCCGUGGGCGCCCGCCGGAGGUAAACCAAACCCUUGAAUUGCAUGGCCUCUCUGAGUCUUCUGUACUGAAUAAGUCAAAACUUUCAACAACGGAUCUCUUGGUUCUA